AAUACAUUACCUUUGUGAUUAAGGUUAAGGUUAAGGCUAUAAAAGGAAGCCAUGCUUUCUACUUCUACCUUAGACACAAAAGUCAGCUGGUAAGUUUAGGGCAAUCAUUCUUUCUCAGACUUACCCAUCUCACAGGGUUGUUGAUAUGGGAAAAUAAGAGAUGGAUGUAGACAAAAUAAAGGCCGGAUAUAAAUGUAAAAAUAAGUAAAUGAACAUUUGCAAAAUGACCUCAUCACAUGUUUGUCACACUUUAUUAUUUGCUCUUUCUGACCUUGGAAAUGUCCUUUUUGUCACCCCUAACCUAAUUCAUUUCUUAGUCUCUUUUUUAUUAUUAUUAUUAUAAACACCCUAUUCUCGUAACUGCUUCCCUUGUUCUUUCUUUAUAAACUGUUCCAGAUAAGCUAGCAAUGGAAAGUGGCGUUUCAGAGAGCAGAGGCUGUUUGAAAAGGAAAUCACUGCUCACAAGGUGGGGAAACUAAUCUGGCUUCACAUCUGUUUGGUUAAAAUGUGCCCCUUGCCUCAAAACUGAACGUGGCAUUAGAAGCCCAAACUUGCUACUGACUGGUACUGUUUUACUAUGUGGCAGAAGCCGGGGUCUGCAACGUAAUAAGUCCUCUAAGAACUGGCAUUAGCUUUCGGUGCUAUUGGGCUGCUCAUUGAUCCAGAAACACCCAUUGUACAAUGUAGUCAAGGAUCAGCCCUAAAGUGAGACAUGACAUUUGGAUUUACUCUUUGCAAACUCACGUGACGCUCCCGCAGAGCCACCUGGAUGGUGAAAUACAGCAAAGAAGCUCAGCGCAGCUCCAUAUGCUCUUCUUGCCACUGUCAGCUUUUUCACAACAUUGACUUUCAUGAUGCUGACCUAUGUAGACUCUUGACAAAUGCCAAUGAUGACUGGAAGGGACAUCUGCAGUAUCACAUCUCGAAGCGCUUGUUUGUACAUUCAGGUCAUAGCUUCUGAACUGCCUGGUCAGAAAGUGGAGGAAGCUUUAAUCAUUUCCAUCUGGUUGACCAUUGCUUCAGGGUGAAUUAAAAGCUACACCCUGCCUCUGCACUCAGCAUGUUAUCUUCUUUUAUUUUACUAAUGGACUGAUUUAUCUCAUUUGCUUUAUAAAUAAAUAGAGCACUAUAGGUAAAGAUUCUCUUGAGGUGGGAUCAACUCCUGAUGAUUUCAUAGACAUGACUGUACAAUUUUCAUGGCAGUGUUACAGAAGCAGUUUGCCACUGCCUUCUUCCAGAAGGUUGCUUUGAUUGCCAGUCUAGCAAAUAGCCUAGAUAUUUCCUGCUAGCUUGACCCUGCUUAGCUGAACCCUACAAAGAAAGUUGCAGUAAGAAUAAUGAAUAACAAAUAAACAAAAAAUAGAGUGU